AAGAAAAUGAGGAUGAAGAAGAAGAGGAUGAACAAGAAGAGGAUGAAACAGAAAAUCAAGCUCAAGUCAACAAUGCACAACCAAAGAUUAAAAUAACAAAAUACAAAAGGAAAAAGGAAGCUGCAUUUGAAACUCAUAUACCAAGAAAAAGGAUUGCUGGAACAUUAUAUCCACUAUUGAAGUUCAUGAACAAGGAUGUUAAGAAAACAGAAGGGGCUAAACAUAUAAAUAAGAAAAAAGACGAGGUCAAGAUAAGGAUAUCUCCAAGGCAUUUUAGUAAGAUGGUAGGUGAACUCACAAAAGAGCAGAGGGACUGGGUUACAAGAGCUGGUUUUGCACUCUUACUGGAUUUUGAGCUUGACAUUUUGCCAACCAAAA